GGGAUAACACUUGGAAACAGGUGCUAAUACCGUAUAACACUAUUUUCCGCAUGGAAGAAAGUUGAAAGGCGCUUUUGCGUCACUGAUGGAUGGACCCGCGGUGCAUUAGCUAGUUGGUGAGGUAACGGCUCACCAAGGCCACGAUGCAUAGCCGACCUGAGAGGGUGAUCGGCCACACUGGGACUGAGACACGGCCCAGACUCCUACGGGAGGCAGCAGUAGGGAAUCUUCGGCAAUGGACGAAAGUCUGACCGAGCAACGCCGUGUGAGUGAAGAAGGUUUUCGGAUCGUAAAACUCUGUUGUUAGAGAAGAACAAGGAUGAGAGUAAAAUGUUCAUCCCUUGACGGUAUCUAACCAGAAAGCCACGGCUAACUACGUGCCAGCAGCCGCGGUAAUACGUAGGUGGCAAGCGUUGUCCGGAUUUAUUGGGCGUAAAGCGAGCGCAGGCGGUUUCUUAAGUCUGAUGUGAAAGCCCCCGGCUCAACCGGGGAGGGUCAUUGGAAACUGGGAGACUUGAGUGCAGAAGAGGAGAGUGGAAUUCCAUGUGUAGCGGUGAAAUGCGUAGAUAUAUGGAGGAACACCAGUGGCGAAGGCGGCUCUCUGGUCUGUAACUGACGCUGAGGCUCGAAAGCGUGGGGAGCGAACAGGAUUAGAUACCCUGGUAGUCCACGCCGUAAACGAUCCGUG
rnacentral:rRNA from 1 species